GAAGGCGGAGCCCCGGACUGGCUGGAAAAGAGAACUCCAUCUCAGGAACCAUGGUUUGCCCUGGAGAGCUUAGCACUGGGCUGAGCACACCGUGUGGGAUUCAACGUGCUAAAGAAAGGAUAGCAGGAGCCUCGAUCCACCCAGGAAGAGGUGCCAGCUGGAUCAGCAAGAGGCUGGUGGAGAACAAGAAGCUGCUAUGAACAAAUCUUUAGAAAACAGCAGGAUCUCCGAGGAGAGAAAGAAUUUCUCUCCAGCCAAAAGCUUCAUGAGAUGGAAGGGGAUGUCCUAUCUCCUAUAUUGUAUCCUCAUCAUAGUCUCAAUAAACCCACUUGGAAGACGCCCAU
rnacentral:lncRNA from 1 species